UAGUCCACGCCCUAAACGAUGUAUACUCGAUGUUUGGAUCUAUUUCUGGGCAUCCAAGGGAAACCAUUAAGUAAGCCACCUGGGGAGUACGUUCGCAAGAAUGAAACUCAAAGGAAUUGACGGGGGCCCGCACAAGCGGUGGAGCAUGUGGUUUAAUUCGAUGAUACGCGAGGAACCUUACCAGGGCUUAACAUUUCACGACGUAUACAGAGAUGUAUAUUUCUCUUCGGAGACGUGAGGAUAGGUGCUGCAUGGCUGUCGUCAGCUCGUGUCGUAAGAUGUCUGGUUAAGUCCAAUAACGAGCGCAACCCUUAUCCUUAGUUACCAGCAUUAAGUUGGGGACUCUAGGGAGACUGCCGGUGUUAAACCGGAGGAAGGCGGGGAUGACGUCAAGUCCUCAUGGCCCUUACGGGUAGGGCUACACACGUACUACAAUGGCAGAUACAAACCGUUUGCAAAGCCGCGAGGUUGAGCUAAUCGGUAAAACACUGUCCCAGUCCGGAUUGGGAGUCGUGACACUCGACU
rnacentral:rRNA from 1 species